rnacentral:lncRNA from 10 species
AUGAUGAUGUGUUGUGUGUGCAUGAAAAGCACAAAAAGUCAACGGUACAAAACUGAGUUUCCCAGAUGUUCCAAGAAGACUCAGUUCUAUGACCCUGGAGAAAAACUUCACUGUACCCUCUGGGCCCUAGUUUCCCCAUAUGGGAUAAAAGGGAGCUUAGACUGGAAUCUCUGUUUAAACAGAAGAGUAAUUUUGAGUAGGCUCUUUCUCAAAGUCGAUUUUACAAGUUUUAGCACACUUU